GGCAGUUUUGGUGAUUCUUCAAAGCAGAGUCUCUGAGCUCGUUAAUGCAGGUAGGGAUGACAGCUUUGGCCCUUGUUGAAUACUGAGACAAUCAGGACUCUCUCACCACUAGGCUAGUGUUAGGCUAGUACAAGAUUUUUGUCAGAAUUAAACCAUGAGUUAGCAUUGGCGGGCAACAUUUUCAUGAGCCUUAAGGCAUUUUGCGGCUCAACUGACUUGGGCUGGAGAGUGCCCUCUCCUGGCCAAGACUGGUGUGUACACACCUCAAGUCUACCAGCGCUUCCCAUUGUGUGAAGCCAGCAAGCUAUCUAGAAUAAAUUCAUUAUGAAAAUUCAACUGAAUUUUAGUCUAUUUUUUUUUUUUUUGGUAAAUGGAUGAAAAAGAACUCAAAUGCUCUAUUUUUGUUAACUUGGUUUUUUCUACCAUAGGUCUCAACAAAUGGCAGC
rnacentral:lncRNA from 1 species